rnacentral:lncRNA from 1 species
GCUUUUGUAUGGAUGCCCCUUUCAUAAUUAGAUAUUUGGCUAAUGGCACUAAUAAAUAACUUUUUUGAGUAUCAUUUGAUACUAUAAUCAUUUUGUAAUUUAUGUUAAUACUUCUAAAAAUUAAUAUUUAGUUUGUACUGAAAAGUGUUAUAUUUUAUGUAUAUUUUUAGAGUUAUUUAUAUAAAUGAGUAAUAAAGUCAUUGCAAAGUAGUUGUUUAUCAACAUCAUC